UACGUAGGGGGGCAAGCGUUGUCCGGAUUUAUUGGGCGUAAAGAGCGUGUAGGCGGUUUGGUAGGUCCGUUGUGAAAACUCGAGGCUCAACCUCGAGACGCCGAUGGAAACCAUCAGACUAGAGUCCGGAAGAGGAGAGUGGAAUUCCUGGUGUAGCGGUGAAAUGCGCAGAUAUCAGGAAGAACACCCGGUGGCUAAGGCGGCUCUCUAGUACGGUACUGACGCUGAGACGCGAAAGCGUGGGGAGCGAACAGG
rnacentral:rRNA from 1 species